rnacentral:lncRNA from 1 species
AUCUAAUCCUCAGCGAUUUUUUUUGCAUAGACAGGGGCUGGGAGGUGAAUGGUUGAAGGUCGUAGUCACUCAGAGUUUUCGAGGGCGCUAUGCUUUGGAGGGUUAGCAAGAUGACCAAGAGGCUGAUGAUGGGUUACCUAGGCGGCAGCAGCCUUCCUAGGUCCCACUUCCUCGUUAAAUCAUGCAGCCUGUGUUUAAGGCAAUUGCUUUCAGUACUGAGCCCCUGCGCUAAAGACCAUGCUACAAGAAGCUAGAUGUUAGGGCAGUCCGAGAACUGUCCCUGGUCCACUGGGGGUGGGGUAGGAGGGGUGCACGAGUGGCCGUCUGUGCCAUGUCUGCCUUGCAUUUGAUUCCAGCAGUUACCAAGCUAAACUAGAGAAAGAAAUAGCUUUGUUGUGGAUUGCAUUGUCGAGCCAUUUUCGUGUCCUGAUACCGCAUAAACGAUCACCUGAUCGCUGGAUCGAUUGGGGUGCUGUGAUAAAACAUCAUAUGUUGGAUGUCUUGGACAACAGAAUUUUACUUUUCCCAUCAUAGGGACUAAAAGUCCCAGGUAAAGUUAUAUGUAAAAGUGGUCCUUUGAAGGAGUGUACUUUCUGGUUUGCAGUAGAAGUCUUACUGCAUACUUCUAUACCCUUUUCCAUUGGUACACACAAACACACACACACACACACACACACACACACACACACACACACAGUUAGAAAGCAAAGUAGAAAAACAGAAGGAUAAAAGACAACACUCUUUCUUAAUUCCUUGGCCACAAUCUACAAUGACUGGCCUUCCAAGGACCAUCACACUAGAAAUUUUAUUUCUAUGACACAGUAAGACCAGUCUCUUACAAGACCACUAGAUUCACUAAUGUGACAGUGAAAGCCCUCUAGGUCUCAACGAGUUACAAGAACAAUGGUCAAUAAAGGAUUGCUGAGAGCAUGAGCAACAGACUCCCCCAGGGAAGAGCAUAUCAACUGGUUAUCAAAGGCUGGAGGUCAUCCCCGAGAACAUACUUACAGAUAACAUUAC